GGCUUUGAUUUCAUUGGCUUUCUGACCGGAUUGCAAAUCCGUGAAGACCGGUUCGAUUCCGGUACCCGCCUCCA
rnacentral:tRNA from 1 species